CCUACGGGAGGCAGCAGUAGGGAAUUUUCGGCAAUGGGGGGAACCCUGACCGAGCAACGCCGCGUGAACGAAGAAGUUAUUCUUAAUGUAAAGUUCUUUUAACAGGGAAGAAAGAUAAAUUUGACGGUACCUUUAGAAUAAGCCCCGGCUAACUACGUGCCAUCAGCCGCGGUAAUACGUAGGGAUCGAGCGUUAUCCGGAAUUAUUGGGCGUAAGGGGUGCGUAGAUGGCAUAGUAAGUCUUUUGUAAAAAUGCUGGGCUCAACCCAGUAGGGCAAAAGAAACUGCAAAGCUAGAGUAUGACAGAGGCAGGUGGAACUCCUUGUGUAGCGGUAAAAUGCGUAAAUAUAUGUAAGAACACCAGUGGCGAAGGCGGCUUGCUGGGUCGAGACUGACGUUGAGGCACGAAAGCGUGGGGAGCAAACAGGAUUAGAUACCCUAGUAGUC
rnacentral:rRNA from 1 species